CGAAAGUGUGGCUAAUACCCGACGAAGUCACUGAGUCGCCUGGCUCGGUGACCGAAGGUGGGGACCUUCGGGCCUGCCGGUCUGGGAGCGGUCCAUGUCUUAUCAGCUUGUUGGUGAGGUAAUGGCUCACCAAUGCUACGACGGGUAGCGGGACUGAGAGGUUGACCCGCCACAUCGGGACUGAGACACUGCCCGGACACCUACGGGUGGCUGCAGUAACGAAUAUUGGGCAAUGGGCGCAAGCCUGACCCAGCAAUGCCGCGUGCAGGAGGAAGCCCCUCGGGGUGUAAACUGCUGUCAGGGGUUAGCAAACAAAGGAUGUUAAUAGCAUCUGGCGUUGAGCAGCCCCAGAGGAAGCCUCGACUAACUCUGUGCCAGCAGUCGCGGUAAGACAGAGGAGGCAAGCGUUGUUCGGAAUCACUGGGCUUAAAGCGGGUGUAGGCGGCCAAGCAAGUGUCCUGUGAAAGCCCACGGCUCAACCGUGGAAAUGCAGGGCAAACUGUUUGGCUUGAGGUCGGUAGAGGUGCCUGGAACUCUCGGUGGAGCGGUGAAAUGCGUAGAUAUCGAGAGGAACGCCAGAGGCGAAAGCGGGGCACUGGGCCGAUUCUGACGCUGAGAUCCGAAAGCGUGGGGAGCAAACAGGAUUAGAUACCCUGGUAGUCCACGCCGUAAACGAUGCACACUAGACGUUGGUGGUUCUGACACUGCCGGCGUUGUAGCAAAAGUAUUAAGUGUGCCGCCUGGGGAGUACGGCCGCAAGGCUAAAACUCAAAGGAAUUGACGGGGGCUCACACAAGCGGUGGAGCAUGUGGCUU
rnacentral:rRNA from 1 species